GAGUAAUGUCUGGGAAACUGCCUGAUGGAGGGGGAUAACUACUGGAAACGGUGGCUAAUACCGCAUAACGUCGCAAGACCAAAGAGGGGGACCUUCGGGCCUCUUGCCAUCAGAUGUGCCCAGAUGGGAUUAGCUUGUUGGUGAGGUAACGGCUCACCAAGGCGACGAUCCCUAGCUGGUCUGAGAGGAUGACCAGCCACACUGGAACUGAGACACGGUCCAGACUCCUACGGGAGGCAGCAGUGGGGAAUAUUGCACAAUGGGCGCAAGCCUGAUGCAGCCAUGCCGCGUGUAUGAAGAAGGCCUUCGGGUUGUAAAGUACUUUCAGCGGGGAGGAAGGGAGUAAGGUUAAUAACCUUAUUCAUUGACGUUACCCGCAGAAGAAGCACCGGCUAACUCCGUGCCAGCAGCCGCGGUAAUACGGAGGGUGCAAGCGUUAAUCGGAAUUACUGGGCGUAAAGCGCACGCAGGCGGUCUGUCAAGUCGGAUGUGAAAUCCCCGGGCUCAACCUGGGAACUGCAUUCGAAACUGGCAGGCUUGAGUCUUGUAGAGGGGGGUAGAAUUCCAGGUGUAGCGGUGAAAUGCGUAGAGAUCUGGAGGAAUACCGGUGGCGAAGGCGGCCCCCUGGACAAAGACUGACGCUCAGGUGCGAAAGCGUGGGGAGCAAACAGGAUUAGAUACCCUGGUAGUCCACGCCGUAAACGAUGUCUACUUGGAGGUUGUGCCCUUGAGGCGUGGCUUCCGGAGCUAACGCGUUAAGUAGACCGCCUGGGGAGUACGGCCGCAAGGUUAAAACUCAAAUGAAUUGACGGGGGCCCGCACAAGCGGUGGAGCAUGUGGUUUAAUUCGAUGCAACGCGAAGAACCUUACCUGGUCUUGACAUCCACAGAACUUUCCAGAGAUGGAUUGGUGCCUUCGGGAACUGUGAGACAGGUGCUGCAUGGCUGUCGUCAGCUCGUGUUGUGAAAUGUUGGGUUAAGUCCCGCAACGAGCGCAACCCUUAUCCUUUGUUGCCAGCGGUUAGGCCGGGAACUCAAAGGAGACUGCCAGUGAUAAACUGGAGGAAGGUGGGGAUGACGUCAAGUCAUCAUGGCCCUUACGACCAGGGCUACACACGUGCUACAAUGGCGCAUACAAAGAGAAGCGACCUCGCGAGAGCAAGCGGACCUCAUAAAGUGCGUCGUAGUCCGGAUUGGAGUCUGCAACUCGACUCCAUGAAGUCGGAAUCGCUAGUAAUCGUGGAUCAGAAUGCCACGGUGAAUACGUUCCCGGGCCUUGUACACACCGCCCGUCACACCAUGGGAGUGGGUUGCAAAAGAAGUAGGUAGCUUAACCUUCGGGAGGGCGCUUACCACUUUGUGAUUCAUGACUGGGGUGAAGUCGUAACAAGGUAACCGUAGGGGAACCUGCGGUUGGAUCACCUCCUUACCUUAAAGAAGC
rnacentral:rRNA from 1 species